AAUACGAAGGGACCUAGCGUAGUUCGGAAUUACUGGGCUUAAAGAGUUCGUAGGUGGUUGAAAAAGUUAGUGGUGAAAUCCCAGAGCUUAACUCUGGAACUGCCAUUARAACUUUUCAGCUAGAGUAUGAUAGAGGAAAGCAGAAUUUCUAGUGUAGAGGUGAAAUUCGUAGAUAUUAGAAAGAAUACCAAUUGCGAAGGCAGCUUUCUGGAUCAUUACUGACACUGAGGAACGAAAGCAUGGGUAGCGAAGAGGAUUAGAUACCCUCGUAGKCCAUGCCGKAAACGAUGUGUGUUAGACGUUGGAAAUUUAUUUUCAGUGUCGCAGCGAAAGCGAUAAACACACCGCCUGGGGAGUACGACCGCAAGGUUAAAACUCAAAUGAAUUGACGGGGACCCGCACAAGUAGUGGAGCAUGUGGUUUAAUUCGAAGAUACGCGCAGAACCUUACCAACACUUGACAUGUUCGUCGCGACUCUAAGAGAUUAGAGUUUUCGGUUCGGCCGGACGAAACACAGGUGCUGCAUGGCUGUCGUCAGCUCGUGUCGUGAGAUGUUGGGUUAAGUCCCGCAACGAGCGCAACCCUCACUUUUAGUUGCCAUCAUUAAGUUGGGCACUCUGAAAGAACUGCCAGUGAUAAGCUGGAGGAAGGUGGGGAUGACGUCAAGUCCUCAUGGCCCUUACGUGUUGGGCUACACACGUGCUACAAUGGUAUCUACAACAGGAAGCAAGACUGCGAGGUCAAGCAAAUCCUUAAAAGAUACCUCAGUUYGGAUUGCWCUCUGCAACUCGAGUGCAUGAAGCUGGAAUUACUAGUAAUCGUGGAUCAGCGUGCCACGGUGAAUGCGUUCCCGGGUCUUGUACACACCGCCCGUCACACCAUGGGAGUUGGUUCUACCUUAAGGCAAGGUUUAAAACCCUUGACCACGGUAUAGUCAGC
rnacentral:rRNA from 1 species